rnacentral:rRNA from 1 species
AUUGAACGCUGGCGGCAUGCCUUACACAUGCAAGUCGAACGGCAGCACGGGUGCUUGCCCCUGGUGGCGAGUGGCGCACGGGUGAGUAAUACAUCGGAACAUGUUCUGUAGUGGGGAUAGCCCGGCGAAAGCCGGAUUAAUACCUCACACGUUCUACGUUUGAACGCGGGGGACCUUCGGGCCUCGCGCUUUAGGGUUGGCCGAUGGCUGAUUAGCUAGUUGGUGGGGUAAAGGCCUACCAAGGCGACGAUCAGUAGCUGGUCUGAGAGGACGACCAGCCACACUGGGACUGAGACACGGCCCAGACUCCUACGGGAGGCAGCAGUGGGGAAUUUUGGACAAUGGGCGAAAGCCUGAUGCAGCAAUGCCGCGUGUGUGAAGAAGGCCUUCGGGUUGUAAAGCACUUUUGUCCGGAAAGAAAUCCUUGGCCCUAAUACGGUCGGGGGAUGACGGUACCGGAAGAAUAAGCACCGGCUAACUACGUG